UCCCUGCUAGCUCAGUCAGUAAAGAAUCUGCUUGCAGGGCAGGAGACCUGGGUUCAAUCCCUGGGUGGGGAA
rfam:Ovis aries breed Texel chromosome 8, whole genome shotgun sequence.